UUUGUCUACGUUCAACAAUCACCACCGACGAUGAAUACAAUAUAAUUCCAUGUGUCGUCUGUUUUGUCGUAAUGAUAACGAUAAAUAUCAUUAAUGAAUCGAUAUCGCUAUAUUUGGUCGUCUGCCGCCACAGCUUUUAUCGUUUAUAAUCAAUUUUUUUCUUCUGCUUUUUGCAUUUUUGACUUGAUUACAAAUGUCGUCCCUAUAUAUCAUAUUUGGCAUCAAAUAUUUGUCAUAAAAUAAAAAGAAUAAGUUAACGAUUAACAAUUUACACCAAAAUCCACAUAUAUCCGUUACGAUAAGAUUCAUACAAUCAAAACAUAUAUGUAAAGAGAGAAUGCGCUUGGGCUUGGCGGCAAAUAGAUGGCGUGAUGAUAGCGAGAGCAGUCAGUAAAGUUUUGGGGUGAUCACUUCAUGUUCCUUUUUACUGUUUCAAUGUUCAUCAAUCUAUUGUAUACAGAAAAUAAAGUUCUCUUUGGACCGACUACCGAAUUCAACCCGUUCCCUUGUUUUUACAAGUCAGUAGGAUGUGAUCAACGUCCAAUCUCCCGAAUGGAUUUCCAUAAAUACAAGCGACGACCGCUACACAAUCGACAAGACUCAACGCUAAAGAGCUGAUGACGUUCAUCAAGGAUGAUUCAAUUGGAGAAUGAACGAUCAUUGACGCAGAAUAAGGAACCAGAAUACAGGAUUAGACCAGAUCAACCAUUCAAACCUGCCCGACUACUAUCGUUCAACCGAAAUAAUCAUCGAUUUUGGCAAAAUAAUCCUGUACCAAGAUACCCACCGUAUUCGACUCGUCAAAUAAUUCCAAAAUCAUACCAAAGCUACGGAAAUCGAUCAUCUAACAAGCAAUCAACUUUUUCCAUAUUUUCUAAAAACCUUUCUAAAAACUUUCCUAAAAGUCCAACCUAACACGAUCAGUUGAGAAUCGAGAAAAUGGCAAGUCAACAACAGAUCCAACAAGAUUUUUAAUUUUUAAUAUAAUUUAUUUAUUAUAUUACUUUAUAAUUGAUUAUCAUAAAUACAUUAAGAUUAAUAACGGCUAUUAGCCCCACUAAGAGUUAACGUAUCAAUUAAAUUGUGAAUCAAGUCAAUUCGACGUUGAGAAUGAUAAAUUUGUCGAUAAGGUCGACGUUAUGACUGUAACAGCUUGGUAUGACGAAGAGAGUAGUCUUGUAUCUAUUAAUGAUAACAGUGAUGAAGAAGAUUAAUAAAAUCACAGUAUCAAGCAUA